UUUAUUGGAGAGUUUGAUCCUGGCUCAGGAUGAACGCUGGCGGCGUGCCUAAUACAUGCAAGUCGAGCGAAUGGAUUAAGAGCUUGCUCUUAUGAAGUUAGCGGCGGACGGGUGAGUAACACGUGGGUAACCUGCCCAUAAGACUGGGAUAACUCCGGGAAACCGGGGCUAAUACCGGAUAACAUUUUGAACCGCAUGGUUCGAAAUUGAAAGGCGGCUUCGGCUGUCACUUAUGGAUGGACCCGCGUCGCAUUAGCUAGUUGGUGAGGUAACGGCGCACCAAGGCAACGAUG
rnacentral:rRNA from 1 species